rnacentral:rRNA from 1 species
GCUUUACACAUGCAAGUCGAACGGCAGCACGGACUUCGGUCUGGUGGCGAGUGGCGAACGGGUGAGUAAUAUAUCGGAACGUAUCCAAUAAUGGGGGAUAACUAAUCGAAAGGUUGGCUAAUACCGCAUACGCCCUACGGGGGAAAGCAGGGGAUCUUCGGACCUUGCGUUAAUGGAGCGGCCGAUAUCUGAUUAGCUAGUUGGUGAGGUAAAGGCUCACCAAGGCGACGAUCAGUAGCUGGUCUGAGAGGACGACCAGCCACACUGGAACUGAGACACGGUCCAGACUCCUACGGGAGGCAGCAGUGGGGAAUUUUGGACAAUGGGCGCAAGCCUGAUCCAGCCAUUCCGCGUGAGUGAAGAAGGCCUUCGGGUUGUAAAGCUCUUUCGCAAGGGAAGAAAACUUACUUUUUAAUAAAGAGUGAGGUUGACGGUACCUUGAUAAGAAGCACCGGCUAACUACGUGCCAGCAGCCGCGGUAAUACGUAGGGUGCGAGCGUUAAUCGGAAUUACUGGGCGUAAAGCGUGCGCAGGCGGUUUUGUAAGUCAGAUGUGAAAUCCCCGAGCUCAACUUGGGAACUGCGUUUGAAACUACAAGACUAGAAUAUGUCAGAGGGGGGUAGAAUUCCACGUGUAGCAGUGAAAUGCGUAGAGAUGUGGAGGAAUACCAAUGGCGAAAGCAGCCCCCUGAGAUAAUAUUGACACUCAUGCACGAAAGCGUGG